GGCAAAAAGAAUAGCAUAAUUAUUUAUUAAAAGAUCAGUACUUGAACAACCAAUAAGGAAUAUGAAAGAUUCGGGUAAACUAACAAACUUUUCACUAUACAUGACAGAGAAGAUUGGAAUAACAACAAUUGAGACCUUUAAUCUUACAAUAAGAUAAAUAGGAAAACAGGGAAAAUGGACUAAAAGAUGAGGAAAAUAUGACAUCUUAUCCAUGGGGUCCUAGCAACACUGUGAAACACUGCUUCCCACGGGAAAAAAAACUUUAGUUCCUUCGAAUCUCGACUUGUUGCUAGCAUGAUCUUUUUAUCAGAGUUGGUUAUUAUGCUGCAACUCCAUGCAGUCUGUAGUACCUCAUUAGUAUAUAAACUGGAUGGCUGCUCUCUUUUUGUACGAAUGAGUUCAACAGCCACCGAGUGUAACAGCCACUGAUAUCCUCGGAACUGUGCUCACCACUGCUCUAGGUACAUGGCUCUUCUAUAUGCAUUACUGAAAAUCUACAAAUACAUAUAAAAGUACAUAAGGAAAUGUUAACUAAUUUACUUAGAUUUUAAACACUUAACCAAGAGAGAGUUGUGAACCACAUGAAUCCAUUUGCCAUGAUGGUGAACUUCAAGUCCUUUGAAUGAAGUUACUAAAUCUAACACCAAAUAAAUAAUCCACAGGUUCUCCAUGCUUAGAACUUAUUGAGCUUUGUAAGUGACGUAACUUUAAUUUGCUUUUACUUCUUGUAUUUUCCAUACAUACUUUUUCACUAAAUUCAAAUCAUAGGAUAAAGGAAACAUCCAUGACCAGAAUAUGAAAUUGUGAUAAUUUACUAAUAACAUGAAAUAAGUUUCAACAGUAAUUGAGUGUAACCUCAUUAGAAUUGCCAUAUCUCAUCCCAAGGUUUACCAUUUUUAGCAGAUUCAAUCUUCAAAAUUAGGAUAUCCAUUCACCUUGCUAUCUCAGAUCCUUAUAAAAGACUUCUAGCAGCAAUUUAAUAAUUAAGUUAAAAAUAUUUCGCUAACAAUAACUAAACAAACCUGGGCAUCAAAAUCUCAUUGUGUCAAAUGUUCACAACUAAUCUGACAUUCUUUUAUCUCUUUCUAUAGCUCCGCAAUUUUUCUUCAAGCAAAGAAAUUUUGUGCUCAAGGAUCUGCUCAUCAUACAUAGAAACUCAAUAUUAUCAAAUGUCUGAUAGUAGUUAAAGAACAAUACUUUAAAAACCAAAUAAGGAACAGAAAAGGUUGGAAGAGCAAUAAUUGAGUCUUCGAAUCUAUAGUAAGAUAAAUAGGAAAAUAGGAGGAACAAAAGCUUUCAAAAUAUUUGAUGAACGGUGAGUUUAAAUAAGCUGGAUCCAUUAAUAAACAAUAAAAUUAAUUUUUUUGAAAUUGCUGGGCACAAUGUUAUUCCAAUAAUCUUCACCUUUUAGGUUAUCAUUGGAAUCUUAGCAUUAAUUCUUGGGCUAACGAAGAAACAGAAAAAGGAAAAAGAGAAGAGAAUAAAGCAAUUUACAAAGGCAGAUCAUAAGGAAAAGAAGACAAAUGGAUGCGUACCCUAAACAAUGAUGAUUUACUAUCCCAUAAUCUUUUUUAAAAUCUCGUCAACAGAUUUAACAAAGAAGGUCCACUUGAACAAUUAAAAUACUUAUUAAAUAUCGAAUGAAAACAUACUCUAAAUCCCAUCUCUAUGUUAGCUUCUCUGGAUUAGGAAUUUCCUAGAAUAUGUUUUCUGUUCUUGCAACUAAAGUGCAAGGAUCUUAAAUCCCAACACUCUUGCUACUAAAGCAGUGUUGUUAAAGGCGCGCAUAAGCCCUAAAGCGAGGCUCAAAACAUGUUGAGCGCUUCACCUUGCUUUGCGGGCGCUUUAGUGUCGCAUUAAGGCUCUAAGACAUACUUUUUCUUGCCAACGAGUAUAAUCCUGAAAAUAAAUUGAUAUUUCACUUUAUCGUAUUUUUUUUCCAAUUAUUUUGUCUAUAUAUUUUUUAUUCAUGCUUAUAAUUAUUGGUCUUGGACUAAAUAUACAUAUUUUUACUUUUUAUCCAGUUGCGCCUUCUUUCAUUAAAGCCCACGCUUUAUUUGCGCUUUACGCUUGAAGCCCCGCCGGGCCUUAGAGCCUUUUUGCGCUUUUCGUCUUUGAUAACACUGUACUAACGUGCAAUGAUCUUAAAUCCCAGAACUCUUGCUACUAAAGUGCAAGGAUGUUAACUGCCAAAACACAUUAUCAUAUUUAAAACAAAGCUCUACCAUCAAUUUGAAAAAAGCAUGCUGCAGCAUUACCAUUAUUCUGAUAGAAACUCAAGCAAGAACUACUAUUGUCGAACUGAAACACAUUACUAAAGCUCACACGAUACAUCUCUAAUACAAAAAAUUUCCGGAGGCAUGGAUGUAGUUAACAAAAGAACAGUUGAUUUUGAAACGGAAAAUUCUCAGCAGCUGUUUGAAUAUAAUACCAGGAAAUAAGCUG
rnacentral:lncRNA from 1 species